rnacentral:tRNA from 14 species
GGGUGUAAGUUAGUGGUAGACUUCCUGUUUUCCAAACAGCUUGCGUGGGUUCGAUUC